rnacentral:rRNA from 1 species
UACGAAGGGGGCUAGCGUUGCUCGGAAUUACUGGGCGUAAAGCGCACGUAGGCGGUUUUUUAAGUCAGAUGUGAAAUCCCCGGGCUCAACCUGGGAACUGCAUUUGUGACUGUAUAGCUAGAGUACGGUAGAGGGGGAUGGAAUUCCGCGUGUAGCAGUGAAAUGCGUAGAUAUGCGGAGGAACACCGAUGGCGAAGGCAAUCCCCUGGACCUGUACUGACGCUCAUGCACGAAAGCGUGGGGAGCAAACAGG